rnacentral:rRNA from 1 species
GACGAACGCUGGCGGCGUGCUUAACACAUGCAAGUCGAACGGAAAGGCCCUGCUUGCUGGGUCCUCGAGUGGCGAACGGGUGAGUAACACGUGGGUGAUCUGCCCUCCACUUCGGGAUAAGCCUGGGAAAAUGGGUCUAAUACCGGAUAGGAGCCAUUUUUAGUGUGAUGGUUGGAAAGUUUUUUCGGUGUAGGAUGAGCUCGCGGCCUAUCAGCUUGUUGGUGGGGUAAUGGCCUACCAAGGCGGCGACGGGUAGCCGGCCUGAGAGGGUGGACGGCCACAUUGGGACUGAGAUACGGCCCAGACGCCUACGGGAGGCAGCAGUGGGGAAUAUUGCACAAGGGGCGCAAGCCUGAUGCAGCGACGCCGCGUGGGGGAGGACGGCCUUCGGGUUGGAAACUCCUUUCGCUAGGGACGAAGCUUUUUGUGACGGUACCUAGAGAAGAAGCACCGGCUAACUACGUG